rnacentral:misc_RNA from 1 species
UUUCCGUAGGUGAACCUGCGGAAGGAUCAUUCAUUCUAUGUGAAUUAACACCAAUCUUUAACUAUUUAUCUUCGUCCUGGGCCAUAACAGGGUGGAAUUUUCUCUCGAGAGGAUCGGCUCCAUACGUCCACGAUCUCUCAACUCUUUGUCUGAAACAUGUUAUGAAUGUAGCACUUUUAUUUACAACUUUCCACAACGGAUCUCUUUGUUCUGCCAUCGAUGCAGUCGGCAGACGACUGGUGGAGCCCAAGUAUGAACACCCGUCACUACGUAUGA